UACAGAGGUCCCAAGCGUUGUUCGGAUUCAUUGGGCGUAAAGGGUGCGUAGGCGGCGCGGUAAGUCGGGUGUGUAAUCUCGGAGCUUAACUCCGAAACUGCAUUCGAUACUGCCGUGCUUGAGGACUGGAGAGGAGACUGGAAUUUACGGUGUAACGGUGAAAUGCGUAGAUAUCGUAAGGAAGACCAGUGGCGAAGGCGGGUCUCUGGACAGUUCCUGACGCUGAGGCACGAAGGCCAGGGGAGCAAACGGG
rnacentral:rRNA from 1 species